rnacentral:rRNA from 1 species
UGCAUCGGGGUAAGACCGAUGCUUUUCUUGACUCUUCAAAGGUCUUGGAAUAAGGGGUGGGUAAGGACGGUGCCAGCCGCCGCGGUAAUACCGGCGCCUCAAGUGGUAGUCGCUUUUAUUGGGCCUAAAACGUCCGUAGCCGGUUUGAUACAUUCGUGGGUAAAUCAAGGAGCUCAACGUCUUGAAUUCUGCGAGCACGGCCAGACUUGGGACCGGGAGAGGUGUGGGGUACUCUCAGGGUAGGGGUAAAAUCCUGUCAUCCUGAGAGGACCACCUGUUGCGAAGGCGCCACACUAAAACGGAUCCGACGGUCAGGGACGAAGCCUAGGGGCACGAACCGGAUUAAAUACCCGGGUAGUCCUAGGUGUAAACGCUGUGGACUUGAUGUUGGGAGUGCUCCGAGCACCCUCAGUGUCGAAGCGAAGGUGAUAAGUCCACUGCCUGGGAAGUACGGUCGCAAGGCUGAAACUUAAAGGAA